UACGUAGGCAGCAAGCGUUGUUCGGAGUUACUGGGCGUAAAGGGUGUGUAGGCGGUUGUUUAAGUUUGGUGUGAAAUCUCCCGGCUUAACUGGGAGGGUGCGGCGGAAACUGGAGUGCUUGAGCGCGGGAGAGGAAAGCGGAAUUCCUGGUGUAGCGGUGAAAUGCGUAGAUAUCAGGAGGAACACCUGUGGUGUAGACGGCUUUCUGGACCGUAGCUGACGCUGAGGCGCGACAGCGUGGGGGAGCAAACAGG
rnacentral:rRNA from 1 species